rnacentral:rRNA from 1 species
GUGCUGCAUGGUGUCGUCAGCUCGYGUUGUGAAAUGUUGGGUUAAGUCCCGCAACGAGCGCAACCCUUAUCCUUUGUUGCCAGCGCUCCGGCCGGGAACUCAAAGGAGACUGCCAGUGAUAAACUGGAGGAAGGUGGGGAUGACGUCAAGUCAUCAUGGCCCUUACGACCAGGGCUACACACGUGCUACAAUGGCGCAUACAAAGAGAAGCGACCUCGCGAGAGCAAGCGGACCUCAUAAAGWGCGUCGUAGUCCGGAUUGGAGUCUGCAACUCGACUCCAUGAAGUCGGAAUCGCUAGUAAUCGUGGAUCAGAAUGCCACGGUGAAUACGUUCCCGGGUCUG